rnacentral:rRNA from 1 species
ACUAGAAAAUAGUUAUCCUACUUGGAUAACUGUGGCAAUUCUAGAGCUAAUACAUGCAAAAAAGCUCUGACCGCAAGGAACGAGCGCAUUUAUUAGAAUAAAAACCAAUCGGGUUUCGGCCCGUAGUUUGGUGAAUCUGAAUAACUUUGCCAAUCGCACAGUCCUAGUACUGGCGAUGUAUCUUUCAAGUGUCUGCCUUAUCAACUUUCGAUGGUAGGUUAUACGCCUACCAUGGUAGUAACGGGUAACGGAGAAUAAGGGUUCGACUCCGGAGAGGGAGCCUGAGAAACGGCUACCACAUCCAAGGAAGGCAGCAGGCGCGCAAAUUACCCACUUCCAGAACGGAGAGGUAGUGACGAAAAAUAACGAGACAGUCCUCUUCGAGGUCUGUCAUCGGAAUGGGUACAAUUUAAA